GUCCUCGGAGUCGUGGCAGCACCGGGAGCGACGGCAGUGUCCGGACCCCGGUGAGGCGGCGGCGGAGCUCGGACGCGGCCCCGGCGCAGGUCACUGUGAACAGACAGGGCAGGACUUUGCUGGCAUCGCCUUCCUGAGCCCGAGUGUCCCACAGGGCCCAGCCGUGUCCUCUCAUCAUGGUCUCUCCACUCUGCCUCAACAGUGGUGGUAAAACCACCCCCAGACUUGGGCUGAAAGAGGCUUUGCCAGCCCCGCUGAUGCCUCGAGAUGCAGCUUGUCACAAGUAGAGAGAGGGCACUCGCACGAGGCUCCCGGGGCAUCUCGCCCUGGCAGUGGUUCUGCUCCUGCUCCUGGCUUUGGUGGUAGCCAAAGGUAAGGGAGGAGCUG